AUGGGGGUACAUUUUCAAUGGAAGGACCACUUACUUAUGAUGGUGGCGAAGUGUAUUUUUCGAGACUGUGACAGUGAGCGUACAUCGUAUUUUCGUCUAGUUCGCAUGGCUAAAGACGUAGGUUUCAAGGAUGGUGAUGAGUUAUAUUAUACAGUCCCUGGCUGUAGUCUUGACGAAGGAAUUGAUUUAAUUCAUGAUGACAAUUCUGUCAUUAAGAUGUUGAACUUUGCAAAGAAACACAACUUUGCAGACAUCUAUCUUAAACAUAAAGACCAUGAAAAUAUGUCUGCUGAUCCAAGAUCUGGUCUGCGCACUAAUGAGAAACUUCCAGCUGAGAAAACCAAGUCAAAGGAGGCUAAAUUGACAUCGAAAAAGAGAGACAAGAGAACAUGGACAGCGGAGGAGGAGCGGUUGCUUAUUGACAUUCUACAUAACAUGAAUGAUUCUUCUUGGAAAGUAGAUACUGGCCACAAGUCUGGAUAUCUGACCUACAUUGAGAAGGAAAUGGCUAAAGUGCUGCCACAUGCUGAUCUUAAAGCAGAUCCACAUAUCAGGUCUAAAGUUAAGAUUUUGAAGAAGCAACUUUCAUAUGUUCUGGAAAUUAUGCAAAAUGGUAGUGGGUUUGGAUGGGAUGAUGAGAAGAAGAUGGUAACUGGAGAUAGGGAGACGUAUAUGGGCUGGGCAAAGUCUCGUGAGGGAGCAGGUCCUUUGUACAUGAAGCCUAUGGUUAACUUUGACAAGCUAUGUGAGGUAUAUGCUACUGAUUUAGCUAAAGGAGGGAGUGCUAAAGGUCCGGGUGAAGAAGAAAUAGUAGAAGAUGGAUCAAUAGUAGAUGCACAACCUACCAGCAAACCAGCCAAGGAGAAUCUUCCUGAAUUAAAUGAUACAAGCCCAUCCGGUGGUUCUAGGCAUGGUCGUAAGAGAACAUACCCUGAUGAUGAAGCACUUGAGUCAGGUCUUGCAAGUGUGUCGAAUACAAUUGCAAAGUUCUUGGAAGCUGAGCAGGAGAAUGCUAAAACCAUGAAUGGUUUACAGAGGGCAUUUAUGCAUGAAUCGCAUGUUCAUGAGCAAACAUCAGCCAAUAGAACCAAGUUACUUGAUAUUCUCCAGAAUCUUAAGGGUCUCACAACCGAAGAGGUUGUAAUGGCUAUCCGUGUCAUUGGUGGUGAUGCUGGAAAGACAGAACUUUUCAUCAAUUUGCGUGAUGAUUACAAAGUGGUGUUUGUUCGUCAGGAGCUUGACGCGGCCAAAAAAUAA
rnacentral:rRNA from 1 species